UACGAGAGGUGCAAGCGUUGUUCGGAGUAAUUGGGCGUAAAGCGCACGUAGGUGGGCUUGUAAGUCGGAUGUGAAAUCCCUGGGCUUAACCUAGGAACUGCACCCGAAACUACAAGUCUUGAAUGCUUCAGAGGUUGGUAGAAUUCCUGGUGUAGGAGUGAAAUCCGUAGAUAUCAGGAGGAAUACCGGAGGCGAAGGCGGCCAACUGGGAAUGCAUUGACACUGAGGUGCGAAAGCGUGGGGAGCAAACAGG
rnacentral:rRNA from 1 species